rnacentral:rRNA from 1 species
AGGGUUUGAUCCUGGCUCAGAAUCAACGCUGGCGGCGUGCCUCAGACAUGCAAGUCGAACGAUUAAGACUUCCUUCGGGAAGUGCAUAAAGUGGCGCACGGGUGAGUAACACGUAAGUAAUCUACCCUCGAGUGGGGAAUAACGUUCGGAAACGGACGCUAAUACCGCAUAAUGCAGCGGCAUCGCAAGAUGACAGUUGUUAAAGGAGUAAUUCGCUUGAGGAGGAGCUUGCGGCAGAUUAGCUAGUUGGUAAGGUAACGGCUUACCAAGGCUACGAUCUGUAUCCGGUCUAAGAGGACGGUCGGACACACUGACACUGAAUAACGGGUCAGACUCCUACGGGAGGCAGCAGUCGGGAAUUUUGGGCAAUGGGCGAAAGCCUGACCCAGCAACGCCGCGUGAAGGAUGAAGUAUUUCGGUAUGUAAACUUCGAAAGAAUGGGAAGAAUAAAUGACGGUACCAUUUAUAAGCUCCGGCUAACUACGUGCCAGCAGCCGCGGUAAUACGUAGGGAGCAAGCGUUGUUCGGAUUUACUGGGCGUAAAGGGCGCGUAGGCGGCGCGGUAAGUCACUUGUGAAAUCUCUGAGCUUAACUCAGAACGGCCAAGUGAUACUGCAGUGCUAGAGUGCAGAAGGGGCAAUCGGAAUUCUUGGUGUAGCGGUGAAAUGCGUAGAUAUCAAGAGGAACACCUGAGGUGAAGACGGGUUGCUGGGCUGACACUGACGCUGAGGCGCGAAAGCCAGGGGAGCAAACGGGAUUAGAUACCCCGGUAGUCCUGGCCCUAAACGAUGAAUACUUGGUGUCUGGAGUUUCAAGACUCCGGGUGCCGUCGCUAACGUUUUAAGUAUUCCGCCUGGGGAGUACGCUCGCAAGA